rnacentral:lncRNA from 1 species
CAUAAUAUUGAAACAAAUUAAGUUGGUUUAGCCGCAUCAAUAGACUCUUGGAGGAGGUGGUGGAGAGUUAUAGAGGUAGGGAAGGUGAUAAGCCGGAUGCUUGAGGACAUGACGAGAAGGGGAAGGUGAUUUAUGAAUAUAUGGUGGAGGAGGUGAAGAAGAAGGUGGAGGUGGAGACUUGUAAACAUAUGGAGGAGGCGGUGAAGGUGAUGGUGGGGGAGGAGACUUGUACGCAUAUGGAGGAGGGGGUGACGGGGAAGGCGGUGGUGGGGACUUGUAAACAUAUGGAGGAGGUGGUGAGGGGGAAGGUGGUGGUGGGGACUUGUAGACAUAUGGUGGUGGAGGUGAAGGAGAGGGAGGAGGUGGAGAGUUGUAGACAUAAGAAAGGGGUAGCGAUGCAUAUGGUGGUGGAGGAGAUUUGUAAACAUAUGGAGGCGGUGGUGAAGGAGAGGGAGGUGGAGGAGAUUUGUAGACAUACGGUGGAGGAGGUGAGGGAGAAGGAUGUGGUGGUGACUUGUGCACAUAAGGCGGAGGUGGUGAUGGGGAUGGUGGUGGUGGGGACUUGUAGAUGUAAGAAAGGGGUAGUGAUGCAGAUGGUGGAGGAGGAGACUUGUAGACAUAUGGAGGUGGUGGUGAAGGAGAGGGAGGUGGAGGAGAUUUGUAGACAUAUGGUGGAGGAAGUGAAGGAGAAGGAGGUGGUGGUGACUUGUAAAUAUAAGGUGGAGGUGGUGAUGGGGAUGGUGGUGGUGGGGACUUGUAGAUGUAAGAAAGGGGUAGUGAUGCAGAUGGUGGAGGAGGAGACUUAUAGACAUACUUAGGUUGUGGUGAUGGAGAGGGAGGUGGAGGAGAUUUGUAGACAUAUGGCGGAGGAGGUGAAGGAGAGGGAGGUGGUGGUGACUUAUAAAUAUAAGGUGGAGGUGGUGAAGGAGAUGGUGGUGGUGGAGAUUUGUAUGUAUAUAAUGGAGCUAAUUUGGGGUAGAGGUGUGCGUGUUUUGCAUGAUGUGGGGUGUAUUGUGAUUGUGGAUAUUUUGCAUGUUUUGGAGGAGGUGGAGAUUUAUAUGUAUAUAAUGGAGUUAAUUUGGGGUAGAGGUGUGAGUGUUUUGCAUGAUGUGGGGUAUAUUGUGAUUGUGGAUAUUUUGCAUACUUUGGAGGUGGUGGGGAUUUGUAUGUAUAUAAUUGAGUUAAUUUGGGGUAGAGGUGUGAGUGUUUUGCAUGAUGUGAGGUGUAUUUUGAUUGUGGAUAUUUUGCAUACUUUGGAGGUGGUGGGGAUUUGUAUGUAUAUAUUGGAGUUAAUUUUGGAUAGGGAUGUGAAUGUUUUGCAUGUUCAGGGGUGUACUUUGAUUGUGGAUAUUCUACAUGCUUUGUAGGUAAUGGAGAUUUGUGUUUAUAUAAUGGAGUUAAUUUAGGGUAGAGGUGCGAGUGUUUUGCAUGAUAUAGGGUGUAUUGUGAUUGUGGGUGUUUUGCAUAUUUUGGAGGUGGUGGAGAUUUAUAUGCAUAUAAUGGAGUUAAUUUGGGAUAGGGAUGUGAAUGUUUUGCAUGUUUUGGGGUGUACUUUGAUUGUGGAUAUUCUGCAUGCUUCGUAGAGAGUGGAGAUUUGUGUUUAUACAAUGGAGUUAAUUUGUGAUUGAGGUGUGGGUGUUUCGCGUAAUAAUAUGGGGUUUUUUGUGACCGUGGAUAUUCUACAUGCUUUGUAG